CAACCAUGAUAUGGGCAUCGACAGGUGG
rnacentral:sRNA from 1 species